rnacentral:rRNA from 1 species
AAUAGAUACCCUGGUAGUCCACGCCCUAAACUAUGUCAACUAGUUGUCGGGGAAGAAAUUCCUUGGUAACGCAGCUAACGCGUGAAGUUGACCGCCUGGGGAGUACGGCCGCAAGGUUAAAACUCAAAGGAAUUGACGGGGACCCGCACAAGCGGUGGAUUAUGUGGAUUAAUUCGAUGCAACGCGAAAAACCUUACCUACCCUUGACAUGUACGGAAUUCCGCAGAGAUGUGGAAGUGCCCGAAAGGGAACCGUAACACAGGUGCUGCAUGGCUGUCGUCAGCUCGUGUCGUGAGAUGUUGGGUUAAGUCCCGCAACGAGCGCAACCCUUGCCAUUAGUUGCUACAUUCAGUUGGGCACUCUAAUGGGACCGCCGGUGACAAACCGGAGGAAGGUGGGGAUGACGUCAAGUCCUCAUGGCCCUUAUGGGUAGGGCUUCACGCGUAAUACAAUGGUCGGUACAGAGGGCUGCCAACCCGCAAGGGGGAGCUAAUCCCAGAAAGCCGAUCGUAGUCCGGAUUGUAGUCUGCAACUCGACUGCAUGAAGCCGGAA